AGUGAGUACCACCUUACUAAAUACUAAAAUUGUAAUGAUGCAGAAAAGAUUGACAUGGCCCUUCACAAGGAUGACAUGAAAAUUCAUGCAGCAUUCCAUAUGUUU
ensembl:snRNA U6 U6 spliceosomal RNA